rfam:Danio rerio chromosome 14 genomic contig CTG3020, GRCz11 reference primary assembly.
UUGAAUUGAAUAUCACCUUGCCCAGCCCAAUUGAAGCUAAGCAGAGCUGAGCCUGAUCAGUACCUGGAUGGGAGACCACAUGGGAAAGCUAGGUUGCUGUUAGAA